rnacentral:rRNA from 1 species
AACGAACGCUGGCGGCAUGCCUAACACAUGCAAGUCGAACGAGACCUUCGGGUCUAGUGGCGCACGGGUGCGUAACGCGUGGGAACCUGCCCUUAGGUUCGGAAUAACUCCCCGAAAGGGGUGCUAAUACCGGAUAAUUUCUUCGGACCAAAGAUUUAUCGCCUUUGGAUGGGCCCGCGUUGGAUUAGCUAGUUGGUAGGGUAAAAGCCUACCACGGCGACGAUCCAUAGCUGGUCUGAGAGGAUGAUCAGCCACACUGGGACUGAGACACGGCCCAGACUCUUACGGGAGGGAGGAGUGGGGAAUAGUGGACAAUGGGCGAAAGCCUGAUCCAGCAAUGCCGCGUGAGUGAUGAAGGCCUUAGGGUUGUAAAGCGCUUUUACCCGGGAUGAUAAUGACAGUACCGGGAGAAUAAGCUCCGGCUAACUCCGUG